rnacentral:rRNA from 1 species
CGGAGGCAGCAGUGGGGAAUAUUGGGCAAUGGGCGCAAGCCUGACCCAGCCACGCCGCGUGAGUGAUGAAGGCCUUCGGGUCGUAAAGCUCUGUGGGGAGGGACGAAAGCCCUGAGGUCAAUACCCUCAGGUUUGACGGUACCUCCUUAGCAAGCACCGGCUAACUCCGUGCCAGCAGCCGCGGUAAUACGGGGGGUGCAAACGUUGCUCGGAAUCAUUGGGCGUAAAGCGCACGUAGGCGGUCCCUCAAGUCGGGUGUGAAAGCCCUCGGCUUAACCGAGGAAGUGCAUUCGAAACUAGGGGACUUGAGUACUGGAGAGGAUGGCGGAAUUCCCGGUGUAGAGGUGAAAUUCGUAGAUAUCGGGAGGAACACCAGCGGCGAAGGCGGCCAUCUGGACAGAUACUGACGCUGAGGUGCGAAAGCGUGGGGAGCAAACAGGAUUAGAUACCCGUGUAGUCCC